rnacentral:rRNA from 1 species
AUUGAACGCUGGCGGCAUGCCUUACACAUGCAAGUCGAACGGCAGCACGGGAGCAAUCCUGGUGGCGAGUGGCGAACGGGUGAGUAAAGUAUCGGAACGUGCCCAGUCGUGGGGGAUAACGUAGCGAAAGUUACGCUAAUACCGCAUACGAUCUAUGGAUGAAAGCGGAGGGAUCGCAAGACCUCGCGCGAUUGGAGCGGCCGAUAUCAGAUUAGGUAGUUGGUGGGGUAAAGGCUCACCAAGCCGACGAUCUGUAGCUGGUCUGAGAGGACGACCAGCCACACUGGGACUGAGACACGGCCCAGACUCCUACGGGAGGCAGCAGUGGGGAAUUUUGGACAAUGGGCGAAAGCCUGAUCCAGCCAUGCCGCGUGCAGGAUGAAGGCCUUCGGGUUGUAAACUGCUUUUGUACGGAACGAAAAGGUUUGGCCUAAUAAGCUGAGCUCAUGACGGUACCGUAAGAAUAAGCACCGGCUAACUACGUGCCAGCCGCCGCUGUAA